UACAGAGACCUCAAGCGUUAUCCGGAAUCAUUGGGCGUAAAGCGUACCGAUAGGUGGUUGUACAAGUCAGAAGUGAAAUCUCCGAGCUCAACUCGGAAUCUGUCUUUUGAAACUGUACGACUAGAGGGGCAAAGAGGAAGCUGGAACGAACGGUGUAGUAGUGAAAUGCGUUGAUAUCGUUCGGAACACCAAUAGCGUAGGCAGGCUUCUGGGUGCCACCUGACACUGCUAGGACGAAAGCGUGGGGAGCGAAGGGG
rnacentral:rRNA from 1 species